GAGUUUGAUCCUGGCUCAGGUUGAACGCUGGCGGCAGGCCUAACACAUGCAAGUCGAGCGGUAGAGAGAAGCUUGCUUCUCUUGAGAGCGGGCGGACGGGUGAGUAAUGCCUAGGAAUCUGCCUGGUAGUGGGGGAUAACGCUCGGAAACGGACGCUAAUACCGCAUACGUCCUACGGGAGAAAGCAGGGGACCUUCGGGCCUUGCGCUAUCAGAUGAGCCUAGGUCGGAUUAGCUAGUUGGUGAGGUAAUGGCUCACCAAGGCGACGAUCCGUAACUGGUCUGAGAGGAUGAUCAGUCACACUGGAACUGAGACACGGUCCAGACUCCUACGGGAGGCAGCAGUGGGGAAUAUUGGACAAUGGGCGAAAGCCUGAUCCAGCCAUGCCGCGUGUGUGAAGAAGGUCUUCGGAUUGUAAAGCACUUUAAGUUGGGAGGAAGGGCAGUAAAUUAAUAACUUUGCUGUUUUGACGUUACCGACAGAAUAAGCACCGGCUAACUCU
rnacentral:rRNA from 1 species